rnacentral:lncRNA from 1 species
GCAUCUAAGACACACAUCUAACAAUAAGAGCACCCCAUCAAAUGAAAAAAGAAGAUCUUUAAACCUUUCUUACUCCUAUAAUCGAACGGUCUGACGAUCAACCUAAUCCAAGUACUUGCUAAUCGGACCAUCUAAUCUAAUCAUAUCAUAUAUGCUUGAAUUUAGAUCUAAUCUAAAUUAUAUCAGAUCUGAUCAUAAUCUUAGAUGACAUCUAAAUUAGA